GUGGCAGGUGCCCUCCCGGAUCUGGGCUGCCCCUGACGGCGAGCCUGGACGCUCCGCGGGGGCGUGGGGCCCGCACAGCACCCGCCCGGCCGGGGCGCCAGGAGGGUUCAGGGGGGGCCCCGGGUGAAGCCUUGGCGAACCCACCAACCGUCGGCUCUCUCCCGGGGGCGACACCGGACGCCGGCUCCCAGCGGGUCCUCACGGGGACUCGCGCCCACCGCGCCAGCAGCUGUGCGGGCGUUACUGGAAGUUCUGCGCUACAGUCGCCUCCCGGCAAUGGGGCUUCCCGGCGCCCGUGUGAACAUCCGGGUCACAGGCCCUUAAGGACCAAUGAGAGGACGUAUCGUGAGCUAAGGGGCGGGGCAUCAUGGCUGCCCCCAGUGCGCCGCGUCCGGGGUCUGGUGGAUGUUACGCUGAUUGACAGCUCCGUCACCGCGGGCCCGCCCUCUGCCCUCAGCAGCGGAGCGGUGGUCACCCCGGGAAGCUCUACGAGGCGGCGGCCGGAGAGGGAGCCAUGGGGACAGUGCACGCCCGGAGUUUGGAGCCUCUUCCACCUAAUGGACCUGAUUUUGGCGCAUUAGGAGAAGAAGCUGAGUUUGUUGAAGUUGAACCUGAAGCCAAACAGGAGAUUCUUGAAAACAAAGAUGUGGUUGUGCAACACGUUCAUUUUGACGGACUUGGAAGAACGAAAGAUGAUGUCAUCGCAUGUGAAAUUGGAGACGUUUUUAAGGCGAAAAACCUGAUUGAGGUGAUGCGGAAAUCUCACGAAGCCCGUGAAAAGCUGCUUCGACUGGGAAUAUUCAGACAAGUGGAUGUUUUGAUCGAUACGUGUCAAGGUGAUGGUGCCCUUCCAAACGGCUUAGACGUUACCUUCGAAGUAACCGAACUGAGGAGACUGACGGGCAGCUAUAACACCAUGGUUGGGAACAACGAAGGCAGCAUGGUGCUUGGCCUCAAACUCCCUAAUCUUCUAGGCCGUGCAGAAAAGGUGACUUUUCAGUUUUCAUAUGGAACCAAAGAGACUUCGUAUGGCCUGUCCUUCUUCAAACCACGGCCCGGAAACUUCGAGAGAAAUUUCUCUGUCAACUUAUAUAAAGUUACUGGCCAGUUCCCCUGGAGCUCGCUUCGGGAGACAGACAGAGGAGUGUCCGCUGAGUACAGCUUUCCCAUAUGGAAGACCAGCCACACCGUCAAGUGGGAGGGCGUGUGGCGGGAGCUGGGCUGCCUCUCCAGGACGGCGUCCUUCGCUGUCCGGAAGGAGAGCGGGCACUCGCUGAAGUCCUCUCUUUCGCACGCGAUGGUCAUCGACUCGCGGAACUCCUCCAUCUUGCCCAGGAGAGGGGCUCUGCUGAAAGUUAACCAGGAGCUGGCUGGCUACACUGGAGGGGACGUGAGUUUCAUAAAGGAAGAUUUCGAGCUUCAGUUGAAUAAACAACUUCUAUUCGAUUCGGUUUUCUCAGCGUCUCUCUGGGGCGGGAUGUUGGUGCCCAUCGGCGAGAAACCGUCGAGUAUUGCAGACAGGUUUUACCUCGGAGGACCGACCAGUGUGCGCGGGUUUAGCAUGCACAGCGUGGGGCCGCAGAGCGAAGGCGACUACCUGGGCGGAGAGGCCUACUGGGCCGGCGGCCUGCACGUGUACACGCCCCUGCCCUUCCGGCCGGGCCAGGGUGGCUUCGGGGAGCUGUUCAGAACGCACUUCUUCCUCAACGCCGGCAACCUGUGCAACCUCAACUACGGGGAGGGCCCCAAGGCUCACAUCCGGAAGCUGGCCGAGUGCAUCCGCUGGUCUUAUGGUGCCGGGAUCGUCCUCAGGCUCGGCAACAUCGCCCGGCUGGAGCUGAAUUACUGUGUCCCCAUGGGCGUGCAGAAGGGGGACAGUUUGGAGGAAAAAUGUGACGUGUCCCCUCCCCCCCAUUCUUGUUGCACUCUCUGUCGCCAAGUCGUGGGGGCCCCUCCCCAGGUCCGGUCAGAGGAAUCGAGAAGGCAUAUGGAUCCUGCUUGUUAAAAAUGGAAUGAGGUAUUUCUGGUGGGUGACUUUACAGGCCAGGAAUUCAGAGUUGGAGGGGACAAGGCUCUGCUCCUGGCCACAGAGGACUCAUUGCCCAGAGCCUUCUCUUGGGAGCAGAGGAACCUGCCAGCCUGGACUUUCUCCCCCAGUCCUCAUACUGAGCAAGAUUUGCAAAAUAUGGCCUGAGGUCAUUUACAGUUACAGAAAUUCCAUUUCUUGGUUUAUCUAGCAUCCGUUGUAUACAUUUUGAGAAAUGCGGAAGCAGUGCCUGGAUCCGUAUCAGGUGGGGCCGCCCUGACAGAGCACCGCACACUGGGGGCCCGACCUACAGAUGAGUGUGUCUCACGGUUCUGGAGGCUCCAAGUCCGGGACCAGGGUCCCGGCCAGUCCGGCUCCUGGUGAGGGCUCCUUCCCAGCUUCCUAACGUGUCCUUACCUGGCGAAGAGAGAGCGAGCUAGCUCUCUGAUGCCUCUUCUGAUAAGGACAGGGACCCCCCCAUGGGGACCCCACCCUCAUAGCAUCAUCUGAAUCGAAUGAACCUCUCGAGGCCUCACCUCCGAAUACCGUGUCAUGGUCCGGCUUUCACACGCGCGUCCCGGGGGCGCGUCAGGCUCCUGCCCGUUCCUCCCUCGUCACGUUCACGCUAACGCAGUCUGGGCUCUAGGCUGUGUUUUUUUUCUUUCGGCGUUCUGUCUACACUUAUGUGGCUACCACGCUGGCCGAGUCACAGUCCGAGUCUCAAGCGGGACGUUGGAGUUUGUCCUCACUGGAAGAAGAGCAGUGCUGCUUCUCCCGCCGUCUCCUGCUUCGGUGUGGGGCUCUCGGAAAGGCAGACCCUCCCGGGUGUGGAGUGACCUGCAGACACUGUUGCGCUCCUUAGGGAGACUGAUGCUUGUGGACCAGCCCCCCUCGGAGGGAGACCGACCCGGGUCCCUUCUGAGAGCAGUUACAGCGUUCGGUGGAGGGACGGCGAUCAUUCGCAUUGACUGACCGCGUGCCUCCUGUGAGGCCCCAAGCUAAGCCCUUGACACCAUUCUGGAAGCCUCCCAGCCGCUCUGUGCAGGGGAGGGUGUUCCCCUCUUGCAGACGAGGACAGCAGCCUUGGUGGGGUCCGCGGUCCGCUCGGCAGCAGGACCAGGCCUGCUUGAGGCCGGACCUUGUGCCUUUGCCUCCACACCAACACCGCGCGAGCACCAGCACCAGCACCUCCCUCUCCUGGGAGCCCGGACGUGGGCAGGCGGUGCUCCUCGCAGCCCCACGCCACUCUCCCUGCGCCUCGGGCGUUCGCUGCGGAAAGAGAAAAGCCCUCUCCUCCGUGCUUCUCUUCUGGGAAGAUCUUCCUCGGACUUGAAUUCUGUACGCGCUUUCCUGUCUCAGAGAUCGUACAGGCUGUUUCCACGACGAUCGAUCCGUUUGGGUUAACUGUGUCAGUGUUAGUGCAAGUUAUGUAAGUAAAUGCAUUCUAAAUAUUUUUUAUUACAAAGAAAACUUCAGUGCCUGUGGCUUUAUAGCCGUGGCUGUCGUGUCUGUGUCACGGAAUGAUCGUCGACCACGGAGAACUGACCACUCCCCUCUCAGCCGGUUUCCAGAGAGCAGCAGACGUGGGGCUGCAGGCCCAGCCCUGCCCUGUCCCUGUGUGUCCCCCUGCCCAUGUGACUUGGGGCACGUCCCUGGGGCUGUGGGCCUCCUGUCCUUCAGCUCAGCCGCGGCUGCUGUCCCCAUGGCUGCAGUGUUGUUCGAGGCCACUGGAUGUCGCUGUGCUCCGAGGAUCGCUGCCCCACUCCGGAGCCCCGUGUCUUUCCCCUGGUUCACGGAGUCCUUGCGGGGAACGCUUGCUUCCGCUCACCUGUCAGCUUUGCUCUCUCUAAACGGGAAGAAUCUGUUUCAGAGACGAAUUUCAGAUGCGGCUUGCUCUGGAAGGAGGAAGCUUGCCGGGCACUCGGUAUUUAAAGGCCAGAACACAAGGAAGCCGCUCCUCCCCUCCAGCCGGGCUCUGCUCUGUGACCCCAACUGUGCUGCUUGCCGCAUAUGCGUUUUGUGUCCAGCGUCCCCCGCGCAGGGUCCGCCUGGUUACCCUUGAAUGUGAGACUUGGAUGACUCCGUGCACGGCUGUGUUUGAAGCGUCAUCAUCGGACUGGGAAUUGUGUGAAGUUUGGGUGACAUCGUGAGAAUUUGAUCUUCAUUUUGGAAAUCAGGCAGUGGCGGGACAGGAUUACGUGUGUGAGACUCGCUUGGGGAUUCCCCCCGCUCUUAACGCA